GAGGAAAAGAAACUAACAAGGAUUCCCCUAGUAACGGCGAGUGAAGCGGGAAGAGCUCAAAUUUGAAAUCUGGUGGCCUCAGGUCAUCCGAGUUGUAAUCUAUAGAAGUGUUUUCCGUGCUGGCUCAUGUACAAGUCCCUUGGAACAGGGCGUCAUAGAGGGUGAGAAUCCCGUCCUUGACAUGAACUACCAGUGCUCUGUGAUACAUUUUCAACGAGUCGAGUUGUUUGGGAAUGCAGCUCAAAAUGGGUGGUAAAUUCCAUCUAAAGCUAAAUAUUGGCGAGAGACCGAUAGCGAACAAGUACCGUGAGGGAAAGAUGAAAAGCACUUUGGAAAGAGAGUUAAACAGUAUGUGAAAUUGUUGAAAGGGAAACGAUUGAAGUCAGUCGUGCUCUUUGGAUUCAGCCGGUUCUGCCGGUGUACUUCCUUUGAGUGGGGUCAACAUCAGUUUUGAUCGCUGGAUAAAGGCUGGAGGAACGUAGUACCCUCGGGUAAACUUAUAGCCUCCUGUCACAUACAGUGGUUGGGACUGAGGAACGCAGCACGCCUUUAUGGCCGGGAUUCGUCCACGUACGUGCUUAGGAUGUUGACAUAAUGGCUUUAAACGACCCGUCUUGAA
rnacentral:rRNA from 1 species